GGGGGCUGGGAAUGUAGCUCAGUUGGUAGAGUGCUUGCCUUGCAUGCACAAGGCCCUGGGAUCAAUCCCCAGAGCCUCCA